GACGAACGCUGGCGGCGUGCUUAACACAUGCAAGUCGAACGGAAAGGCCUCUUUCGGGGGGUACUCGAGUGGCGAACGGGUGAGUAACACGUGAGUAACCUGCCCUUUACUUUGGGAUAACUUCAGGAAACUGGGGCUAAUACCGGAUAGGAGCUCCUGCUGCAUGGUGGGGGUUGGAAAGUUUCGGCAGUUGGGGAUGGACUCGCGGCUUAUCAGCUUGUUGGUGGGGUAGUGGCUUACCAAGGCUUUGACGGGUAGCCGGCCUGAGAGGGUGACCGGCCACAUUGGGACUGAGAUACGGCCCAGACUCCUACGGGAGGCAGCAGUGGGGAAUAUUGCACAAUGGGUGGAAGCCUGAUGCAGCAACGCCGUGUGCGGGAUGACGGCCUUCGGGUUGUAAACCGCUUUCGCUCAUGACGAAGCUUUGUGUGACGGUAGUGGGUAAAGAAGCACCGGCUAACUACGUG
rnacentral:rRNA from 1 species